CAAGGCUGAGGCGUGAUGACGAGGCACUACGGUGCUGAAGCAACAAAUGCCCUGCUUCCAGGAAAAGCCUCUAAGCAUCAGGUAACAUCAAAUCGUACCCCAAACCGACACAGGUGGUCAGGUAGAGAAUACCAAGGCGCUUGAGAGAACUCGGGUGAAGGAACUAGGCAAAAUGGUGCCGUAACUUCGGGAGAAGGCACGCUGAUAUGUAGGUGA
rnacentral:rRNA from 1 species